GAUGAACGCUGGCGGCGUGCCUAAUACACGCAAGUCGAGCGAACGGACGAGAAGCUUGCUUCUCUGAUGUUAGCGGCGGACGGGUUAGUAACACGUGGAUAACCUACCUAUAAGACUGGGAUAACUUCGGGAAACCGGAGCUAAUACCGGAUAAUAUUUUGAACCGCAUGAUUCAAAAGUGAAAGACGGUCUUGCUGUCACUUAUAGAUGGAUCCGCGCUGCAUUAGCUAGUUGGUAAGGUAACGGCUUACCAAGGCAACGAUGCAUAGCCGACCUGAGAGGGUGAUCGGCCACACUGGAACUGAGACACGGUCCAGACUCCUACGGGAGGCAGCAGUAGGGAAUCUUCCGCAAUGGGCGAAAGCCUGACAGAGCAACGCCGCGUGAGUGAUGAAGGUCUUCGGAUCGUAAAACUCUGUUAUUAGGGAAGAACAUAUGUGUAAGUAACUGUGCACAUCUUGACGGUACCUAAUCAGAAAGCCACGGCUAACUACGUG
rnacentral:rRNA from 1 species